rnacentral:rRNA from 1 species
CUUCGGGUUAGUGGCGGACGGGUGAGUAACGCGUGAGAAUCUGCCCUCAGGAGGGGGAUAACGGCUGGAAACGGCCGCUAAUACCCCAUAUGCCGAGAGGUGAAACGAAUUUCGCCUGAGGAUGAGCUCGCGUCUGAUUAGCUAGUUGGUGGGGUAAGAGCCUACCAAGGCUUCGAUCAGUAGCUGGUCUGAGAGGAUGAUCAGCCACACUGGGACUGAGACACGGCCCAGACUCCUACGGGAGGCAGCAGUGGGGAAUUUUCCGCAAUGGGCGCAAGCCUGACGGAGCAACGCCGCGUGAGGGAUGAAGGCCUCUGGGCUGUAAACCUCUUUUAUCAAGGAAGAAGAUCUGACGGUACUUGAUGAAUAAGCCACGGCUAAUUCCGUGCCAGCAGCCGCGGUAAUACGGGAGUGGCAAGCGUUAUCCGGAAUUAUUGGGCGUAAAGCGUCCGCAGGCGGUCUUGUAAGUCUGUCGUCAAAGCGUGGAGCUUAACUCCAUUUAAGCGAU